rnacentral:rRNA from 1 species
UACAGAGGUCUCAAGCGUUGUUCGGAUUCAUUGGGCGUAAAGGGUGCGUAGGCGGCGCGGUAAGUCGGGUGUGAAAUCUUGGAGCUUAACUCCGAAACUGCAUUCGAUACUGCCGUGCUUGAGGACUGGAGAGGAGGCUGGAAUUUACGGUGUAGCGGUGAAAUGCGUAGAUAUCAGGAGGAACACCAAUGGCGAAGGCAGCUCGCUGGGACGGUACUGACGCUGAGACGCGAAAGCGUGGGGAGCGAACAGG